UGCGUAAUCCAGAUAGCGGCCCUGGGAAACUAGGGAGGAAAGUCCGGACAGCAGAGUGUAGGGUGUCCACUGAAAGGUGGAGGGGCUCAUCGCAAGAUGAGCCGACAGUCAGAGUAACAGUGACGAGCUGGGUAGCGCCAGAUGAAACGACCAAGCUAUUGGGUAUCCUCUUUUGAGCGCAAGUUCAGAACGAUGACAAUCCUCCCCGCUGCAACCGCCGAGUUUCACCGCAUUGCACACACUCGCAUCAGGAAGCAACGUUUCGGCCGAGCUUCAUGACGGUGAUAAGGUCGCGGGCAUAGAUAGAUCGCUAUCCUCGACAGAAUCUGGCUUAUCGGAUUGCGCAGCUU
rnacentral:RNase_P_RNA from 1 species